ACCCUUUAAUGUUUGAUGUUCUAACGUGGACCCGUUACCCGGGUUGCGGACAGUGUCUGGUGGGUAGUUUGACUGGGGCGGUCUCCUCCUAAAGAGUAACGGAGGAGCACGAAGGUUGGCUAAUCCUGGUCGGACAUCAGGAGGUUAGUGCAAUGGCAUAAGCCAGCUUGACUGCGAGCGUGACGGCGCGAGCAGGUGCGAAAGCAGGUCAUAGUGAUCCGGUGGUUCUGAAUGGAAGGGCCAUCGCUCAACGGAUAAAAGGUACUCCGGGGAUAACAGGCUGAUACCGCCCAAGAGUUCAUAUCGACGGCGGUGUUUGGCACCUCGAUGUCGGCUCAUCACAUCCUGGGGCUGAAGUAGGUCCCAAGGGUAUGGCUGUUCGCCAUUUAAAGUGGUACGCGAGCUGGGUUUAGAACGUCGUGAGACAGUUCGGUCCCUAUCUGCCGUGGGCGCUGGAGAACUGAGGGGGGCUGCUCCUAGUACGAGAGGACCGGAGUGGACGCAUCACUGGUGUUCGGGUUGUCAUGCCAAUGGCACUGCCCGGUAGCUAAAUGCGGAAGAGAUAAGUGCUGAAAGCAUCUAAGCACGAAACUUGCCCCGAGAUGAGUUCUCCCUGAGACUUUAGGUCUCCUGAAGGAACGUUGAAGACGACGACGUUGAUAGGCCGGGUGUGUAAGCGCAGCGAUGCGUUGAGCUAACCGGUACUAAUGAACCGUGAGGCUUAACCUUACAACGCCGAA
rnacentral:rRNA from 3 species